GUGGACGCCAGUCUGCAUGGAGCCGACCUUGAAAUACCACCCUUUAAUGUUUGAUGUUCUAACGUGGACCCGUAAUCCGGGUUGCGGACAGUGUCUGGUGGGUAGUUUGACUGGGGCGGUCUCCUCCUAAAGAGUAACGGAGGAGCACGAAGGUUGGCUAAUCCUGGUCGGACAUCAGGAGGUUAGUGCAAUGGCAUAAGCCAGCUUGACUGCGAGCGUGACGGCGCGAGCAGGUGCGAAAGCAGGUCAUAGUGAUCCGGUGGUUCUGAAUGGAAGGGCCAUCGCUCAACGGAUAAAAGGUACUCCGGGGAUAACAGGCUGAUACCGCCCAAGAGUUCAUAUCGACGGCGGUGUUUGGCACCUCGAUGUCGGCUCAUCACAUCCUGGGGCUGAAGUAGGUCCCAAGGGUAUGGCUGUUCGCCAUUUAAAGUGGUACGCGAGCUGGGUUUAGAACGUCGUGAGACAGUUCGGUCCCUAUCUGCCGUGGGCGCUGGAGAACUGAGGGGGGCUGCUCCUAGUACGAGAGGACCGGAGUGGACGCAUCACUGGUGUUCGGGUUGUCAUGCCAAUGGCACUGCCCGGUAGCUAAAUGCGGAAGAGAUAAGUGCUGAAAGCAUCUAAGCACGAAACUUGCCCCGAGAUGAGUUCUCCCUGAGACUUAGAGUCUCCUGAAGGAACGUUGAA
rnacentral:rRNA from 1 species